GUGUGUAUUAAAAGGACAGAUGUUUUUGGCAUAUUCCUGAUAGGGAUGGGAACAGCCUUUGGUCUUUCCUGUUACUGAAUGCACCAUAGUUGAAGCUACCCUCCUCUAUAGAGGGGAUCUGACCCAAUUUUAA
rnacentral:ncRNA from 1 species